UACGUAGGGUGCAAGCGUUAAUCGGAAUUACUGGGCGUAAAGCGUGCGCAGGCGGUUCGCUAAGACAGAUGUGAAAUCCCCGGGCUUAACCUGGGAACUGCAUUUGUGACUGGCGGGCUAGAGUAUGGCAGAGGGGGGUAGAAUUCCACGUGUAGCAGUGAAAUGCGUAGAGAUGUGGAGGAACACCGAUGGCGAAGGCAGCCCCCUGGGCCAAUACUGACGCUCAUGCACGAAAGCGUGGGGAGCAAACAGG
rnacentral:rRNA from 1 species